CACACUCUCAUUCCUUCCAACGUCCUAUCUCUCUCACUCCUCUCAAGAAAAAAAAUCAAGAAGUUUCCCCCCAUCUUCUGCUUCUAGGUUUUGAUUCUAGGGUUCAAUCAAGUUCUUGGAGCAAGAUUCAAUCUCAAAUCCAUCUCUCACCCAAGUGUUUGAAGCUCUCUCAAUCCAUGGUUUAAACCUAAAAGAUGAUUUGGUGAUCAAGCGAAGGAUACAAGGGAUACAAGUUGAUGUUUAGUUGAAGUGCAAAGAAAGGUGAUGAAGUACAAUAGCUUAUAGGUGCAAUGUUUUGUGCAAAUUUGGGCUUCAUGGAAUCGUUUUGCAUAUAGAAUGGAAGUAGAAAGACGACUUAUAUUUUUGGACAUGUUUUGUACUUGCUUCUCUUUUGAUCAAGGAUGUAUAUAAUUUUUGCAAAGUGAUGUACGUAAGCUAUGUAAUUUAGGGAAGGCUUUGGAAGUUCAUGCUAAUGUAAUUAUGAUAUCAUGAAAGUUAUCAAUGUAUGGAUACUCUAGACCAAAUGGGUUGUGCUCAGUUUUGCUUAAACUUGUUUAUGGUUACUUUUAUCAAUAGACCCCAUAAAUUUAAGUGAAGUUUUCUUAA